rnacentral:rRNA from 1 species
AACGAACGCUGGCGGCAGGCUUAACACAUGCAAGUCGAGCGCCCCGCAAGGGGAGCGGCAGACGGGUGAGUAACGCGUGGGAAUCUACCCAUCUCUACGGAAUAACGCAGGGAAACGUGUGCGAAUACCGUAUACGUCCUUCGGGAGAAAGAUUUAUCGGAGAUGGAUGAGCCCGCGUUGGAUUAGCUAGUUGGUGGGGUAAAGGCCUACCAAGGCGACGAUCCAUAGCUGGUCUGAGAGGAUGAUCAGCCACACUGGGACUGAGACACGGCCCAGACUCCUACGGGAGGCAGCAGUGGGGAAUAUUGGACAAUGGGCGCAAGCCUGAUCCAGCCAUGCCGCGUGAGUGAUGAAGGCCCUAGGGUUGUAAAGCUCUUUCACCGGUGAAGAUAAUGACGGUAACCGGAGAAGAAGCCCCGGCUAACUUCGUGCCAGCCGCCGCAGUAAGAC